UGGGGAAUAUUGGACAAUGGGGGAAACCCUGAUCCAGCAAUGCCGCGUGUGUGAAGAAGGCCUUCGGGUUGUAAAGCACUUUCAGUUGGGAGGAAGGAGAUUAUGUUAAUAGCAUAAUCUAUUGACGUUACCGACAGAAGAAGCACCGGCUAACUCUGUGCCAGCAGCCGCGGUAAUACAGAGGGUGCGAGCGUUAAUCGGAAUUACUGGGCGUAAAGGGUGCGUAGGUUGUUAUGUAAGUUAGAUGUGGAAUCCCUGGGCUUAACCUAGGAACUGCGUUUAAUACUGCAUAGCUAGAGUGCUGUAGAGGGUAGUGGAAUUUCCAGUGUAGCGGUGAAAUGCGUAGAUAU
rnacentral:rRNA from 1 species